rnacentral:lncRNA from 1 species
AUUUGAAGUGAACUCUCGCGAUAGCAGAAGGUUGCUAAUGGCGGUGAAAUGGAGGAUUGUCACGCUGAUGAGUAACCUCGAAAUCCACGCAAAAUUGAAGAAAUCAAAGAUUUCCUGCUUACAGCAAGGAGGAAGGAUGCCAAGUGUAAGUUUGAUUUCUAAUAAGCCAAUCAUGGGUCAUUUUAGUGCUGGGCGGUAUGACCAAAAAUUGUAUAUCACGGUAUUUUUUCAAAAUGAUACCGGUUUCACGGUACGUGACGGUUUUUUUUUUCAUGCAUGACCGGGUGUUAACCAUAUUUUCUACUGAUUGAGAGAGUCAAUACUGCAGUAUAUUGACUUAGAAUGCCCUAUUUUACUGUCAUGAUGAGUGAAUAGUCAGAAAAUACCACACUAAAUAGUGACUAAACACGACCCCUUUCAAUACAUCUUAACCAGGAGUCACUCAUUUAUAAUCGCGGCAUCGUCUGAUAAAAUCAGCAUGCAUCUACACUAAAGACUACACUAUGCAGUUGUUUUGGCUAUAUUACUAUAUUUGGCUAUAUAUUGCGUCUGAGUAACAAACUAAAAAAUACAACAAACAAAAAAGUGCAUGUGAUAUUAACAGACGAACUACGCUCAUAUUUAUAAUUCCGAACGAUCAGUAAGCGACAGGUGCUUGGAAACGCUGUUUGGUAUUGACGAGUCGGCUGCGGUGCUUCUCUGCCGCUCACUGCACAGAACAGACGCCGAAAGAGGUGACACUUCUCUGGGAAAGUCAGGCCCUCGCGUUCACGGGACAGCACUGGUGAAAUCUUCCAACUGAACCAUAGCUAAGGUUUAUCCAAAAAAGUCGUUAGGUUUGUCAGUAUGAAUAUUCCAUGGAAAAAAAACCCGCUAAAAGGGUCUGAAAGUUGUUAAAUCUAGUGCUAAAGUCGCGCUCAUGUGUGAGACUCGGGAGCUGAUGGCAGGGGGCGGUGGAUACUUGUGGCGGUCAAUGUGGAUAUUGUGGAUGAGUUCUUCUGUGUCAUCACGUUCUAUUAGUUCUACAGCUUCAGUUUCGGAACUUUCACGCUUAGUAACACAUACAGC